rnacentral:rRNA from 1 species
AACAGGAUUAGAUACCCUGGUAGUCCACGCCGUAAACGAUGUCAACUAGCCGUUGGGAUCCUUGAGAUCUUAGUGGCGCAGCUAACGCAUUAAGUUGACCGUCUGGGGAGUACGGCCGCAAGGUUAGAACUCAAAUGAAUUGACGGGGGCCCGCACAAGCGGUGGAGCAUGUGGUUUAAUUCGAAGCAACGCGAAGAACCUUACCUGGCCUUGACAUGCUGAGAACUUUCCAGAGAUGGAUUGGUGCCUUCGGGAACUCAGACACAGGUGCUGCGUGGCUGUCGUCAGCUCGUGUCGUGAGAUGUUGGGUUAAGUCCCGUAACGAGCGCAACCCUUGUCCUUAGUUACCAGCACGUUAUGGUGGGCACUCUAAGGAGACUGCCGGUGACAAACCGGAGGAAGGCGGGGAUGACGUCAAGUCAUCAUGGCCCUUACGGCCAGGGCUACACACGUGCUACAAUGGUCGGUACAAAGGGUUGCCAAGCCGCGAGGUGGAGCUAAUCCCAUAAAACCGAUCGUAGUCCGGAUCGCAGUCUGCAACUCGACUGCGUGAAGUCGGAAUCGCUAGUAAUCGUGAAUCAGAACGUCACGGUGAAUACGUUCCCGGGCCUUGUACACACCGCCCGUCACACCAUGGGAGUGGGUUGCUCCAGAAGUAGCUAGUCUAACCCUCGGGAGGACGGUUACCACGGAGUGAUUCAUGACUGGGGUGAAGUCGUAACAAGGUAGCCGUAGGGGAACCUGCGGCUGGAUCACCUCCUU